rnacentral:lncRNA from 1 species
CUCGGGCUUCAAAGAUUUGCCUGUAGUGCUCUGCGAGGUGCUGCAGACAUGACUGAUUUUCAGUGCCAAGAAUGGAAGAAUGAAGGCUGUUCACAUCAGUCAAAAAGGUGGUCAUUUAAGCCUUCACUGCACAAGUAUUUGAUGUGUGCAGGAAAGCACUUUUUUUUUUGUGAUAGACACCUACAAUGAGAAAACCACAUCAUUGGAAGGUUCUUAAUGAACCCUGCUAAUCCAUAGCUCAGGACAACUCAGAAGAGUUUGGAGGAAGCAGAAGCGGCAUCUCUUUCUGUUCAGUGAUUUGUUGCUUGUGUCUAAUACCAACGAACUACAUAUCGGAAACUAAAAUUUAUUGGAGAGAUUCUCAGAACCAUACUAGAAACAUUACCGAGGUCUCAUCUAGUUUUCUCUACUGCCUUCCAAGGUUUCUACUGUACAAUUUCUCAUUGAAAACUGCCUCAGCAUUUUUUAAGAAGACAUCACUUCCCCCUUGGGGAAGAAAGAACUCAAUGACUUGAAGAAACUGAUGCUUCAGGUACCUUGAAAAAUUCAGCUGGUUUUGAUGAGAAACAGUCAAUGGGGCUGUUAGGGGUCCUGGCGGAUGCUUAGGCAGUGGCUGUCCUGGAUUCCAGGGAAUGCCCCAAACCCAGUGAUGCAGGACCCAGGACUCCAUCUGCUCAUUCUUCAUAAGGUUGGCUCACAGGUCAUCUGCUGAGAAGGUCAUCUUCUCCGUCUUCACUGGGCUCACUGAAUGAGGACAUUCCAAGAUCCCAGCUCAUCUCAUUUGAGCUUUCCUUUUCCUAAUCCCAUGCAUCUGUGUUUGAGAAAAUCUUCCCAAGUGAUAGAUCUUCUAUUUUCCGAUUUCUUCCAUGUUGUAUUACUUUUUUUAUUAAUAAUAAUAAAUACACAUAUUUUUGGUGUGUACAUG